rnacentral:rRNA from 1 species
GCGGCAACAGCUCAAAUUUGAAAUCUGGCCCCAGGCCCGAGUUGUAAUUUGCAGAGGAUGCUUUUGGUGCGGUGCCUUCCGAGUUCCCUGGAACGGGACGCCACAGAGGGUGAGAGCCCCGUACGGUCGCGCGCUAAGCCUAUGUAAAGCUCCUUCGACGAGUCGAGUAGUUUGGGAAUGCUGCUCAAAAUGGGAGGUAUACGUCUUCUAAAGCUAAAUAUUGGCCAGAGACCGAUAGCGCACAAGUAGAGUGAUCGAAAGAUGAAAAGCACUUUGAAAAGAGGGUUAAACAGUACGUGAAAUUGUUGAAAGGGAAGCGCUCGUGACCAGACUUGGGCCCGGCGAAUCACCCGGCGUUCUCGCCGGUGCACUUCGCCGGCCCAGGCCAGCAUCAGUUUGCCCCGGGGGACAAAGGUUUCGGGAAUGUGGCUCCCUCGGGAGUGUUAUAGCCCGUUGCGCAAUGCCCUGGGGCGGACUGAGGUACGCGCACCGCAAGGAUGCUGGCGUAAUGGUCAC